CGUGGUUGGAAGGAAGAUGAUGGCGGCGUACACAGAAGAGGAUCUCUGUGCAUAUACCUCAGAAAAAAUUAAAAAUAUGCGAAAUAGAAUGGAAAAAUGCAAUAAUGGGAGGAUUGUCAGAUUUACAUGCUUCAUUUUGUGAAAAUGUGAGGAUUUACAGAAGAACGGGGAAGGAUGAAGGAUGAUGGGAGAAACAGAAUUACAGGUUGUUUCUUUUGAUGUCUAUGACGCCUUGUCACAAAGACCAGUACUCUGAUGAGAUGUGGGAGUCGGAAUAAUGCCAAUAAGGAGGAGAUAAUUAGAGACUAGAGUUUCAAUUGAAAGCAGUUUUCCUUUGGAACUGAAGAGAGUAAGAUGU